ACUCAAAGGAAUAGACGGGGGCCCGCACAAGCGGUGGAGCAUGUGGUUCAAUUCGAAGCAACGCGAAGAACCUUACCAGCCCUUGACAUGUCCUCUAUGGUUUCCAGAGACGGAGACCUUCACCUCGGGUGGGAGGAACACAGGUGCUGCAUGGCUGUCGUCAGCUCGUGUCGUGAGAUGUUGGGUUAAGUCCCGCAACGAGCGCAACCCUCGCCCUUAGUUGCCAUCAUUUAGUUGGGCACUCUAAGGGGACUGCCGGUGAUAAGCCGGAGGAAGGUGGGGAUGACGUCAAGUCCUCAUGGCCCUUACGGGCUGGGCUACACACGUGCUACAAUGGCGGUGACAGAGGGAAGCGAAAGCGCGAGCUCUUGCUAAUCUCAAAAAGCCGUCUCAGUUCGGAUUGGGGUCUGCAACUCGACCCCAUGAAGCUGGAAUCGCUAGUAAUCGCGGAUCAGCACGCCGCGGUGAAUACGUUCCCGGGCCUUGUACACACCGCCCGU
rnacentral:rRNA from 1 species